AUUUUUGCAAUUUAACAGGAUACAUACUAUAUUAUAAGUGACGCUUGUCGUCUAUGGCGAUAAACCAUUCUUAGAAUAAGCGGAGCGGACCCGGGGGCGGUACCCGGCGUCUCCACCAAUAUAUGGGGACGAAAUAGGAUCGACGCACGUAAUAAAAAGGGAUGCUUUGCCCGGCCAUGAGUACCACCGUUAGCGGAACUCAAAAAUAAUAAGUGCAAACACAAAUGGCACUUUUGGACGCCGAGUGGGUCGUGGUAGUUCUGCUGCAAAUCGCAACAGAAAAGGCUGCGCUCGUGAAGCUUUCGCUCGCGCUUCUUAAUUUUGGUUCUACCAAUAAAGUAGCCUAGCGGUCCGCGGUUUGGGGGCAACCGGGCAACAGAAUGCCCCCACU
rnacentral:tmRNA from 1 species